AAACAAAAUUAUUAUGGUUAUUGAGAAAAAGUUCAGGAUUGCCAAGAAUGUUGCGAAAACACAUGUCUGAUAAAACCAAGUCUUGGUUUUAUGAAUUUUUGACAAUUGUUCGUUUUUGGAUAAGAAAUUUCUUUAAAUUAAAGGUCCGAUAAAAGUUUAAUAUGUUUUUGAAUGUUUAUAUGGCAACAACAUUGCAAAUCGGAUGCAAAUUAUGCAUUUUGACGCACAUGUUAUGCCGCUUCAUUGUUAUGCAAAUGAGCGACUAUAACCGGUUGUUUGUGUACUUUAACACACAUGAUGUAUCAUUGAAAACGUGCAGGCAUUGUAUGUCAGUGGAAAUACUAGACACAACAUCCUAGCUGGUUUUCCAAUUUGUCCUACAGACUAUGAAAACACUGCUGUAGUUGUUUGAUUCUUUGAUAACUUGUACAUGUUGUUGUGAUGUAACAAAUCACUUUUCAUAAACUACAUGUACAAAAUGAAAGAAAGAAGGUUAGAAUGCAGAACUGGUGAAGAUGAAGGUUAUAAUUGUGAUCUACAUAUUGAUUAAUUUGAAGCAGAAUUUGUUCUUAAGAGUGAAAUAAAAAAAAACAGUGUGUUUUAGAAAGAUGUUCCACUAUUACCAAAACAACAAAAAUAUUCAUUGUUUGACUGAGAGAUAAAGUGUAAAUAAAGAGUACUAGACACUUAA